rnacentral:sRNA from 1 species
AUGAGUUGUUCAACACAGACUGUGUCCUCUAAUGACAGACGACGUAGUGGACGUCCAAGAGAAACGAUGUUAUGCCAAGACCGUCAAAUAAGAUUCACUCAACUCAGGGAUCGGUUUUUGCCAGCAACUAUUACCGCAAGACAAACACCUGGGAGACAUAAUCCAAGGAUAUCCGCCCAAACUGUACGCAAUAGGCUAAGAGAGGUUGGUUUGCGUUCACGAUGUCUAUUAGUAGGAGCCAUUCUAAAACAGCGUCAUCGAACUGCGAGGCUACAUUGGGCAAAUGCACGUUUGUAUAGGAACAGUGUUCUCCCCAGGCCGAUAUGACGCUGCGGUGCCGCAGCGCCUUCAUAAUAUUUUCGUACAUCCCCCAGCGUCUUAAUUGGCCGCUGUCCCUUAAUACUUGAUCCCGUAGCAUGUUAAUUUUCACAUUUUCAUUAUAAAUGUUGGUUAAAAUUGUCAAGUUGCUGAUCACCGCUGAGAGGUCGGUCAGUGUUACUCAAUAACUGAUAAUUAGUUUUACCUGAGCCACGCUUAUCUCAGCCUUAUCGGACUAUGUUAUCAUGUAAUAGCAUAAAUGAUCAUCAAGAAAAUCGGUAUUUUCAGAAGAGAAUUAAAAAAUUAAAAACUUCAGAGCAGAAAUUGAAGAAAUAGAUCGCAAAUACAUUGUAUUUACACAUCGUGUGUAUGAUUACUUGACCAUUUAAAUAACGAAUUUUUUCAUUGGUCGAGAAGAAGAAUCUAUUUAUACAUGACCAAUGAACGUAUUGAAUACACGUGAUAAAUUUGAAUACACAUUGCUAAAGAUAUUUACGAUGAAAAUUAUGAAUGAGAGUAUUUGUAGUUGAAAAAAUUAAAAUAAACUUUGAAUAAAGAUAACGAGGAGUGGUUUAAAUUAAUAGAAAGUGAAAAAAUGUUGAUUGCAAGCUCAAAUCGUCUCAAACUGUCAUGUUUUUAGAAAUAAAAUGAUCAUUGAACAUCGAUCGCGAAUCCGUCCGUCGGGAAAUAUGUGACAAUCCAACCAACAUGGGUAGAAUCGCCGCAGCUUCUGUUUAAUGUCAUAAGUAAAUAAUUUCAAUGGUCUUAACUUUAACGAAUUUGUAAAGUUUCGUUUAUAUCUACCUGUCAAAGAUAGGUUUUAACAAUAAUACACAUGGAAGCGUAAUGUCAAACUACGGAAAAUGUUCAGCUGUUCAUUAAAAUAUUUUAAUAAAGACUUUUUUAUCUAAAAAGUUGUAUACCAAAUAUCUAAACCAUAUUCGAUUUUAAUAAUUCUGAAUAAACAUGUUCUCUGCAAAUAACAAAGGGUGACUUCUAAGCAGAAGUAAAAGUUUUGUUUUUCAGACCAAUGAUUUCUAAUGUAAAGGGGAAUACGUAUACAGCACCGUCAGUAUUAUAAGCAGAUGGCAUUGCUUCUCCCAAUCCCAACCGAGCUUAAGUUAUGGCAAGUGAUAACAGCAAGCACCAUGUUUCUGGUUUCAGUGACAAGUGGUUCACUGACUUUUCAUGGCUUAGAAAUGUUAAAGGGGGUAUAAGCAAAAGUUAUUAUGAGAGGGGGUUUCAACCCUAAAGAGGAUAAAGACAAUGUUGAGGAACAGAUUGUUCAACAAAAUAAAACUAUCUUGAACCAAUAACCCUAGAAGGAGCAGAGAGUACAGAGAUGAAUAUUUAUAUUUUGACUUCUUUAAUUGACUGAAUAUAAAUAACUUUUGUGUUUAAAAUCAAUUUAUUUCAUAUAUUCUUGUAAUUCAUUAGUACUCUGCAUUAUUAAACACAUAACACAAUGCAUUAAAAUUUAUAUUGCAUGUCAUGAUUUAUGACUAAUUGCUUAAGAUUACAAAAGUUCACUCUAAAAAAAGAGUUACGUGCCCUUGAAUUUUGCGCCUUAAAAAAAUCCUGGGGAGAACACUGAGGAACCGUGUUACAAAACGUCAUUUUUAGUGAUGAGUCUAGAUUUUGCUUACGUAGAAGUGAUGGAAGAAUGAGAGUGUACAGACGGCAAAAUGAACGUUCUGCAGACGCAUGUGUGCAUGAAUGUGAUCGCUUUGGUGGUGGUGGUGUGAUGGUUUGGACAGGAAUCACGCAUUGUGGACACACUGACUUGAAGUUCAUAAAUGGAAGUCUUACUGGAGUUCGUUAUCGUCACAAAAUUCUUUCUCCAAUUGUACAACCAUUUAUUGCAAGGCAUGAGAAUUAGCAUACUUUUUAACAGGACAAUGCUGGUGCCAAGUGGCAAGAGUAUGCACACUAUAUCUUGGGCAGAAUAACAUUGUCAUUCUUCCAUGGCCAGAUUUAUCACCCAUUGAACAUUUAUGGGAUGAACUUGACAAAUGCAUACGCAGAUGUCACCAGCCACCCAUAUCAGUCAACCAGCUACAAGCCGCCUUGGUGGAAGAAAGCAUUUAUUCAGCGUUUGAUUGGAUCAAUGAUUCGGAAAUUGACUGCUGUUAACUGA